AGGUAUUAAGCGUGCCUUAGUACGGCGAGUGAAGCGGCAAAAGCUCCAAAUUUGAAAUCUGGCACCUUCGGUGUCCGAGUUGUAAUUUGAAGAAGGUAACUUUGGAGUUGGCUCUUGUCUAUGUUCCUUGGAACAGGACGUCACAGAGGGUGAGAAUCCCGUGCGAUGAGAUGCCCAAUUCUAUGUAAAGUGCUUUCGAAGAGUCGAGUUGUUUGGGAAUGCAGCUCUAAGUGGGUGGUAAAUUCCAUCUAAAGCUAAAUAUUGGCGAGAGACCGAUAGCGAACAAGUACAGUGAUGGAAAGAUGAAAAGAACUUUGAAAAGAGAGUGAAAAAGUACGUGAAAUUGUUGAAAGGGAAGGGCUUGAGAUCAGACUUGGUAUUUUGCGAUCCUUUCCUUCUUGGUUGGGUUCCUCGCAGCUUACUGGGCCAGCAUCGGUUUGGAUGGUAGGAUAAUGACUAAGGAAUGUGGCUCUACUUCGGUGGAGUGUUAUAGCCUUGGUUGAUACUGCCUGUCUAGACCGAGGACUGCGUCUUUUGACUAGGAUGUUGGCAUAAUGAUCUUAAGCCACCCGUCUGAAAAAACAGGCGAAAAAAAAACCCAAUAAAAAAAAAUA
rnacentral:rRNA from 1 species